UUUUUUUUUUUUGGCUGUGCUUGUAGCAUGCAGAAGUUCCCAGGCCAGGGAUCAAACCAAUAUCACAGCAAUGACCUGACCCACAGCAGUGACAAUGCCAGAUCCUUUACUGCUAGGCCAAGGAACUCCUCUACUGCUAAUUUUGAGGAAGAAUAUCAUGAAGUUUGCCUUGAACUAGGAGGCUGAGUGUCCUAGAAAUCAAUUGUUCUCUUACCACAGUUGGUAUGUGUUAGGUUUGCCAAGGGAGGAAGGCACAAGGCCAAGUUGGUAAAGCAAGAGAGAUUUAUUAAGGCAUGGGGGGUGGGGUGGGCCAAGCUCAAGAUGGCACCAGCUCUGACUGUGAGGAGGUGCUAUGCUUGUAAAGGAUCUAUGCUGGGAAUCUGUGGCUGGAUGGAGUUCAUGGCGGGAACUUGUGGCAGGAAUGACAAAGAAGGUGGAGGGGAAGAUCAAGGGAAGGGUAGCAGGUCAAGUCCCAUGACAGAGGGCAGUUAAUCUUUGUAGGUGGUUAAUUUAUGUAGGCAGAUGUUUUCUGCAGGCCAUUGCUUCUUGCUGCCCAACUUGAGCAUCCACAUUCUGGAAAGGGUGUAGAUCUUGUGCCGGGCUGCAAGCAGGUUUCCAAGUGAACAGCCACAUUUGGGGGGUCAGAGGGGGGCUUUGUCUGAUAAGACCCCCAAUAGUGGGUUUUCAUUUGCUCCCUUGUCCCUAUCAGUAUGUAGAUUAUGCAAUGAACAGAGUGUGUUGGGAAAUGUGACAAGAUUAUGAAAAUUAUUGAUUUUAUCACUUAGAGGAAGCAAUUUAUUCUAAAGAAAGAAGUCCAUCAUUUCUGAAUGCAUUUUGGAAGAACCCUAUAAUAUACAUAGUGAGGAAUAUAGGCAUAAUUUAGAAGAGCUUAGAGUAAGAAGAACCAUCAGAAGGCUCUUGAACAAUCCUAGAUUGAUAGACGAUGAGAACCUCAAAAAAUACUUUGAUAUUCACCACGAGGGGUAUGAGUUUUAAUAACAAAAUUCCAACUUUUUUGUUCUUAUUUUUAUCAGGAGUGGAACACUGAAGAAUGUACUGUUGAUGCCAGAAAGAUGUUAACCUUAAUCUGGGUUUUUGUACACACAGCUGAAGAAUGAACUUCACGAAUACUCAGGCAGGUAGCAAGCAAAGUCUUUAUUACAGGAAAGCAAACAGCUCCCAGGACAGCUGGGAGGGGGAGAAAAGCUCCCCUUCUCUAUUGCCUUAUAGGGGCUUUUAUCUCUUAAAGAUGGGGGGCUACUAAAGUGGGGUCCAGAAAGAUGUGGAUUUCUCCCAUUGGCCUUGCUCCUAAUUACCUGUAUCAGUCCUUGUCCAACAGGGGUCUUAGGGGUGGAAAUGUCCCAUUAAGUCUCAUGGUUUCUUUGCCCUUUUCUUCCCGUAAACUGAGUCAUAAGGGUUAGAGAUUAAUGUUCGUCUGGGCAUAGGCACACUCCCCAUAGUAAACAAGGCCUGUGGGGAUGUUACUCCCUAGAGCCCUAAAGCCACAAAUGUUAAUCAAUAGCCACAUCAAAGAAUGCAUCAAGGAGUUCCCAUCGUGGCAUAUCAGAAACGAAUCGGACUAUUAACCAUGAGGUUGUGGUUGGCUCCCUGGCCUUGCUCAAUGGGUUAAGGAUCUGGUGUUACCAUGGGCUGUGGUGUAGGUCGUAGAUGCAGCUCAGAUCCUGCAUUGCUGUGGUAUAGGCCAGCAGCUCAACGCAGGAUCUGAGCUGCGUCUGCAACCUACACCACAGUUCAUGGCAAUGCCAGAUCCUUAACCCACUGAUGGAGGCCAGGGAUCGAACCAGCAACCUCAUGGCUCCUAGUCAGAUUCGUUUCCACUGCACCACUGUAGGAGAAAAUACCCCGAUAAAAAGGCAGAAAGAAGACAUCCUGGCCAUGAUGACAAAGCAAAGUCCAGCCAACUGCCCCUAACCACCCCUCCCCUACACAUCUGCUUUUGUAAAGUUGCUUCCGCAAUUACAUCCCUGCCUGUUCUCACUCUGGUCCGACAGGCCUAGCACAGACCGGGAAGAGCUAGCCCAUAAAAGCCUUGUGAAACCC
ensembl:lncRNA